rnacentral:rRNA from 1 species
AGCGGCGGACGGGUGAGUAACACGUGGGUAACCUGCCCAAGAGACUGGGAUAACACCUGGAAACAGAUGCUAAUACCGGAUAACAACACUAGACGCAUGUCUAGAGUUUGAAAGAUGGUUCUGCUAUCACUCUUGGAUGGACCUGCGGUGCAUUAGCUAGUUGGUAAGGUAACGGCUUACCAAGGCAAUGAUGCAUAGCCGAGUUGAGAGACUGAUCGGCCACAUUGGGACUGAGACACGGCCCAAACUCCUACGGGAGGCAGCAGUAGGGAAUCUUCCACAAUGGACGAAAGUCUGAUGGAGCAACGCCGCGUGAGUGAAGAAGGGUUUCGGCUCGUAAAGCUCUGUUGGUAGUGAAGAAAGAUAGAGGUAGUAACUGGCCUUUAUUUGACGGUAAUUACUUAGAAAGUCACGGCUAACUACGUGCCAGCAGCCGCGGUAAUACGUAGGUGGCAAGCGUUGUCCGGAUUUAUUGGGCGUAAAGCGAGUGCAGGCGGUUCAAUAAGUCUGAUGUGAAAGCCUUCGGCUCAACCGGAGAAUUGCAUCAGAAACUGUUGAACUUGAGUGCAGAAGAGGAGAGUGGAACUCCAUGUGUAGCGGUGGAAUGCGUAGAUAUAUGGAAGAACACCAGUGGCGAAGGCGGCUCUCUGGUCUGCAACUGACGCUGAGGCUCGAAAGCAUGGGUCGCGAACAGGAUUAGAUACCCUGGUAGUCCAUGCCGUAAACGAUGAGUGCUAAGUGU